AACAAAGUCGGACUAUAACAAAGUCGGACCAAAACAAAGUCGGACUAUUACAAAGUCGGACCAAAACAAAGUCGGACUACCGAUAAAUAGAAUAUAACUCGGUCAAUUUAAUAAUGACAGAUAAUGAUCCUUAAAGAACAUAACCUUGGUCUGGAAAAACGAUUGCUGCAACCACUGGCAACACAGAAUAUGCGAUACCGAAUUUCUGUGCGUGCGUACAGAGAGAUGUUACAGAUGUUACAAUUCACUUCACCUGCACCAGAUGCAAGGGAAGCCAAGAAGAAACAAUCAGUGGUCAAGGGAUUCAACUCAUAUAGUCUUUGGACACAACACCAUAAUACAGGGAGUUUGACGUUUCUAUCAUCCUGGGUGGUAUGAGUGGCAGCAAUUCCUGACAGUAUCGCAGCUUUUGCGGGAGUGUGGAGGAAUCUAUGGGCCAAACUGACUGAUAAUCCCUGAUGUGUCCGAGUGUGUGAUAUGCCAAUGCGUUGAACUUUGUGUAUGAUACUGUGAUGUGCUUGAUUGUAAACCUGAUCUCUUUUAUCUCUGUGACUGUCUUGUAUAAUAUCACUGUUCUUUAUACCAUGGAAAAUAAAAUAUUUAUUUUGAAAACAUAUGUUGGCCAUUUCUCAUCCUAAAACAUCAUUUACGCAUAUAGUAAUCUAGUAAAUAUUAGUUUAGGCAUAUAAUAAUCUAUUUUUUCAUCAAUCGUAUAAACAAUCAAUCACAAGGGCGAAUCCAGGUUAAUUU